CGAUACUAAACGGAAAGCGCUAAAGAAGCGUAGCCUGCUGUUGCUAUGGUUACCUUCUCAUGCAAACGCGAAUUUUGUGCUUGAGCGCCUAUUUUAGCGUAUUCUGUCUAACUUUCUUGGUUAAUGAAACGUUGUUUUAUAUAUUUAUGCGUUAAACGAUUACAUUUCUCUUAGACUCCCCACCCUGCAAACCCCCUUCCCGUAAUUCGCACCCUGAUCGUUUUGUUAGGAUACUUGUCGCUGUCCGUUCAGCACCACGAGCGCCUGAACCAUUGAAGACGUCGAGACUCCAGCAUAUGCACGACACUAAUUAAUUAGCUACUGUAAAUUACGCGAGAGAGACUAGGCCUGCAAUUUCUGUUGGAAGCAGAAGGAUACGUUAAACGUCAUAAAGCAGUGCAUACAAACGUGAAGCCUGAACAUGCAUUAGAGUUAAGAUUAACCGCUAGAGGGCGAUCGAGCAUUGUUGAAGGCGAUAAACCCACACUGAAACAUUGGUGGGAGCCAAGACGAGCCAUCACAUGGUCUCUCAACAUGCGCUCUGUAGGGCCCCUAACGUUCGAGUUAUGCCAUCAGACUAAUGCGUUGUGACUGCUCCUUUCUCUUGUGACGAAGUCUUACAGCUGCCUCCAAAUCAAUGGAUGUCAAAGAAAUAUGAAACAAUCAUGACGGAGAAGAAGAACAAAUCCUGCCCGGAUAAUCAAAGACGGUGUUUCUCAAGACACCAGAUGAAUUCAGCACAACUUCUGUCAAAUUGCUCUUCGUUGUCUUUUAUUUUCUCCCUGCAGACGAAGGCCCCUUGUCACAUCUGUCGAAUUUGUAGUGUAAUUUGUAAUUAUUGCCCAUCAUGAGGUCUACAGCUUUAACCCGUCCUUAAUUAAAAGCAUAUUUAAGGUUCUGUCAGAGGCAGGAACGUAAACAGAUGGUUUUCUGUCAAGUGUACGAGCUCUGAAGAAUUCAUUCGAUGGAUCUCGUUUUGUAACGCGAGACGUCCCAUUAUCAUUAUUAUUAAAAACAACAACAUAAACCCUUCUUUCACGUGUUAUAGCUAAAAAUCCUUAUUUUUUUAUUUAUUUAAAAAAAAUCAGGGUAGUAAAACUCGUGCAAAUUAUAUCUUUUUAGUCCAUAACAAAGUUUACAUUUGCAUUAUUUUCAAUAUUUUGAGGCUCACAGAUACUCAGUGUUGGAAAACUGGAAAUUUAUUCAGACUUAAAGCUAAACGCAACGGAUACGAUUGAGUUUGCAUUAACAGCUCGUGACAUUAUUUAUAAUAUCACUUGAUUAACUGAAUUAAUAACGGUUUAAAUCGCGCAUUGUUGAAAGUGUAUUCUGUUUCACAACGCUGUAUUUCGCAUUCAGAAAUUCAGAUGAGCAAGCGAGCAGCAAUCAGUUCAAUUAUCUUCAAAAUAUUUACUU
ensembl:lncRNA